GAAGUUUCUGUCGGGCCCCUCGCGGGUCGCGUCCAGACCGGCAGGCUCCGGGCCGCGCAGCAGGAGCCGGUCGGCGCCCAGGGCCCGCACGGUGAUCUGCGCCGUGGACGUGUAAUGCGGCGGCAGCGGCGGCUUGCAGGACCCGCCGGGCGGCCCGGCGGCGGCGGCUGAGGCGGGGCGGCGGCCCCGGACACCAUCUCGAAGCAGGAGGAGAAGGCGGGCAUCUUGGCGGCGGGAGCGGCGGCGGCUUCGCGGGGCUCGGCGGCCGCGGCCGGCUGGCACUCACCGGUCUCGGGUUCCGGGCGCCACCGGCGGGUCCGGGGCUGCAGAGACCUUGAACGAGGUGGCGGUGGCGGCGGCGGGCGGAGCGGCGGUUGCGGCCGUGGGACCCUGGCCCCGGCUGGUGGUGGGUGCAGACGCUGCUGUAGAGCUGCAUGUCCCUGCCCGCCGCUCGGCCCCUUAUAGGCGCGCCGAGCCCCGGUGAGGGACACACCCUCCGGGCCCGGGGAAGGGGCCGGCCGAGCGCGGUGACCCAGUGCCCCGAGAAUAGAAAUGACCGAAGGGCCGCCGGCGCGUCAGGAGCUGCAAAUAGCGCCCGGGUCCCCGCCAAAUUCCUGCUGCGCCACAGCGCGCGGUGGGGCGGGAAGGGACGCGCGCUCGACCUGCCGGCGCUAGCGGCCCGCAGACCCGGACGCGUGCGCCCGCCGCCACUGCUCCGGCCCGCGGCGGCCGCUGAGGACUCACGGAGGUAGCCGCCCGCCCUGCUGGAGCGCGUCCCGCCGGCUAGCAGCACUGCAGGGCGCGCGGACGAGCCAGGAGGCGGGGCCGCGGUUGUUUACCUCAGGCAGCGCUGCCGCGUCACGUGCCUUCAUUGGAAUGUGCGGCUCGUCGCGGCGUCCCAUUCAACCGCCGGGCUCGCCCCACCCUCCGGCUCGCCCCGCCCCGUUCGGUGACGUCAUGGGCGUGGCCCGCAGCGCGGGCGACGGGCGCGCGGGCGGGAGAGCGCGGAGGCGCGGAGGCCUGUGUAGCCGUAGCCGCUGCCCCACCUCAGUGUUAGUUUCUAGGCGCCGCGGUUUUCUGCGCUUCAGCAGUGGAUCUUGGUGGGUUCAGGGCAGCUUGGGGCGGACAAGAAUGCUGAAGGUCUGGAAAAUCUUGCUGGAAGAGAUGGUACUUCAGGAAACUCAAAGCAGGAUGAUUGCCAGCCUUGGAAUGGGAUUGUUUCUGCCCUGGAGUGUAAGAAAAGGCAAGACCUUCCCUGUGACAGCAAAGAGAUUAGGGUAGGGAAGUGUGUGUGUUUGGGGGUGUGCAAAUUCAGUUCCUUGAUGUGCCAUCUGAAAAGAAUUCCUAAUGAUUGUCUUCUGGAAAAAUCAUCUGUUGAGCAUAUUUUGGUGCUGUGCAGAAGACUGGCUGAAGUAUAAACCAAAAUUGCAUAGUUAUUGAACAGGCUAGAAAAGCAGGAAAUUUCAGCAACUGUCCUUCAAAAGUUAGCAACAAGACAAUCAAUAGGUUAAAACAAAACCAAAAGGACAAGGCAUUUAAUCAAUGAAUAUUUAUUGAGCACCAGCUCUGCUCCCAGCAUGGUGCCAAUUACAGGGAUUUCAGACACAGAUUCUGUCCUGCGGCACAGGCCACAGAAACCUAACCCCAAAGGCAUCUUUCACAAAUAGGACCCAAGCUCAGCAAGUUUUUGAAAAUAUAUAUCCCUAGAUACCCCAUCUUGUAGCUGAUUCCUUUAAAGACAAAAAUUCCCAACCUCUUCCCUCCCACCAAAUUAAAACUUUUAAACAUGCAAACAUUCAUCCAUUUAUUCACUCAUCAAAUUAUUAUUUCUUUACAAACCUAAUAUCAAAAAUGCACUUCAAAAAAUAAAGUUGAAGGACUCAUUCUUCUCAAUUCCAAAACUUACCACAAUGCUACAGUCAUCAAAACCAUUUGGUACAGGCGUAAAGAUAAACAUACAGAUGGGUGAACUAGAACCGACAGUGCAGAAAUAAGGUCAGAUGCAUGCAUGUGCACGUAAAGUCGCUUCAGUCAUGUCCGACCCUUUGUGACCCUAUGAGCUUUAGCUUGCCAGGUUCCUCUGUCCAUUUGAUUCUCUAGGCAAGAUUACUGGAGUGGGUUGCCGUUUCCUCCUCAAGGGAUCUACCCAACCCAGGGACUGAACCCACGUUUCUUAUGUCUCCUUCAUUGGCAGGCGGGUUUUUUUUUUUUUUUUUUUUUACUAAUAGUGCCACCUGCUGCUGCUACUGCUGCUAAGUCGCUCAGUCAUGUCCGACUCUGUGCGACCCCACAGACGGCAGCCCACCAGGCUCCCCGU
rnacentral:lncRNA from 1 species